rnacentral:lncRNA from 1 species
AAAUCAAUGACCUUUAUUAGUAAGUCACACAAACAGAAUAACAUAGAGCGAAUAAAAUACAAAUGUUUUGUUCAUACAUAUUGUCUUAACAAGAAAUGUACCUCAGUGUAAGUCCACCACCAGCCAUUGUUCAUUUUUUUUUUCUGCUCUUGUUCCUUCUUGAGAUAUUUGAAUUCUGCAAAUUAAAUGUAGGCACAAAAGAGAAUAUUUGGAUCGCCUGAUGUACAGGACAUUCCGAAUCAGCUGUCUUAAUCCAAGAGACUGGAGUGUACGAAGCCAAAUACAGUCAUACAUAUUCUAUGUGUUGCAGAGGAAUCAAAGUAGCAAACUCUAUGUGACCGUGAAGUUGGGGUUUAUGUGAACGUGAAGUUGAGUUAACGUGGAGUUUAUGUGAACGUGGAGUUUAUGUGAACGUGGAGUUUAUGUGAACGUGGAGGUUAUGUGAACGUGAAGUUUAUGUGAACGUGGAGGUUAUGUGAAUGUGGAGUUUAUGUGAACGUGAAGUUGUGUAGUUUAUGUGAUGGUGCAUUUUUGUGUGUUUAUGAAGUUUUUGUUUUGGUUGUGUUCUUUUUCUCGUGCGUUUAGUGUUUUUCUUGUUUCGAUUGUGUUUUUGGCUGUGUUUUUUUAUGGGAGAGAGAGAGAGAGGGCGAUACCGUGACCCACUUGUGUCAUCCAAGCGUCAGUUACUUAGCUGUUCCAGCUAAACCAAGUCGCCUCCAAUUUUUUUUGCAGCUCCAUCUUCUGAAAACAAAACAUUUUGCGAUGUACUUUGAGCAGAGUAAUACUCGAACGAAAGUAACAAAAAUAACAGAGUUAUACUUAUGUCCACCCAAAGAUAUUCCAAGAAUAAAAUUUCAAAAUUUUCUAAUCUGACCCGUUGGCAUAAUCAAGAGUUUUUUUGUUUUGGUUAAAGGCAUAAUCAAGAGUUGCUAACUACUAAUAAUCAAUUAGAGAACCAGCUAACAUCUUAUGAACAUCACAAUGUAGUUAUUUCAUAAGCAUAGGCCAAGUUUUGGUGAUAUCAAGUCUUAAGACUAUCGUGUUUGUAAUAAUAUAUUACCUUUGAAGCUCUUUUUGAACAACUCUCUUUAUCUUCUCUGCUACGAGAAGCUGAUCAGCAAGCUUAGCUUUAUGAUUUUUUCCCGCAACUCUGCAAAGUAUACACGAAGAGAAUAUGUAACUGAGCCACAAAACAGCUUGAAGAGUUGUGGAUUUACCAAAAAGUGAAUUACGAAACUGAACCACAAAACUUAACAACCAAAGUUAUACAAUUGCAUCGAGAUUAGGCACACACAUGAUGAUAAAAAUUAAGACAAAACAGAGACAAAUCAUCACAAAAUAGUUCUUAAAAUGGCUCUUUGAUUUCAUAGUUAAUGAACCAAUUCAACAAAUCAAACACAAAUGCAACCAAAACCUAACAAUGCGUUGAUCAACCAAUGUAAUCAGAAGGAGGUUUAUAUACCUGAAAGAUUUGUGCCUAAUCAAAAGGAUUCUCUACGGAUUUGUGCAUAUUCAGAAGGAUUUCGAAAUCUAGAUUCAAUCACACAUGAAUUGACUAUCCCUGCAUAACAACACCAAACAAGAACCAAAAUUUCAGCGAGAAAGACAAAGACAGACACAAAACAAAAUUGAGAAAAAAAAAAACUCAAUCAUAAGUGAAAGACGCAAGAACAGAGAAUGAUCGAUUGCUUUGCUUGGGUGCUACUACCUCUAUCACACGACCUUUUAGAGAUUUACGAGAACAAAUGAGAGCAAACACAUGAAAGCUUGGUACCUGUGUAGAGUCGAUAUAUAGGGUUUUGCUGUUUGAACAAUGGAAGAGGCGGCUUGUAGGAAGAAGCAGAGAACCGCAAACUGAUUGGCUUUGAGGUUCCACUUAUCGGAGAAUAGAUUCCGGUGACCAAUCGGCGUCAUGUUCACCGCCUGUGACUCUUCAAAUCUGUUCUGAAAUAAUCGGAAAGAUAAUGAAAUGAGAUCAAUGAAUAAGAAAAACAAAAUCAAAAUCGAUAAGAUCAUCAUUCAUAGUUACCUGAUUCAUCAAUCGCAGGCUGGAUUGUUCAUCAUCAAUCUGUGAUCUAUCGUUCUUCAUCGAUCGAUUGAUUCUACAUGCUUCGCAGUACCGUUUUG